UUCGUUUUCACUAUUUUUCUC
rnacentral:piRNA from 1 species